GUGCCAGCAGCCGCGGUAAUACGUAGGGUACAAGCGUUGUCCGGAAUUAUUGGGCGUAAAGAGCUCGUAGGUGGUUUGUCGCGUCUGCUGUGGAAUCGUGCCGCUUAACGGUGCGCGUGCAGUGGGUACGGGCAGACUGGAGUGCAGUAGGGGAGUCUGGAAUUCCUGGUGUAGCGGUGAAAUGCGCAGAUAUCAGGAGGAACACCGGUGGCGAAGGCGGGACUCUGGGCUGUUACUGACGCUGAGGAGCGAAAGCAUGGGGAGCGAACAGGAUUAGAUACCCUGGUAGUCC
rnacentral:rRNA from 1 species